rnacentral:rRNA from 1 species
UGGGAAAUAUUGGACAAUGGGCGCAAGCCUGAUCCAGCAAUGCCGCGUGUGUGAAGAAGGCCUUCGGGUUGUAAAGCACUUUUAUCAGGAGCGAAACGCUGUCGGCUAAUACCCGGCGGAACUGACGGUACCUGAGGAAUAAGCACCGGCUAACUUCGUGCCAGCAGCCGCGGUAAUACGAAGGGUGCAAGCGUUAAUCGGAAUUACUGGGCGUAAAGCGUGCGUAGGCGGUUUCUUAAGUCUGCUGUGAAAUCCCCGGGCUCAACCUGGGAAUGGCAGUGGAUACUGGGAGGCUAGAGUGUGUCAGAGGGUGGCGGAAUUCCCGGUGUAGCGGUGAAAUGCGUAGAGAUCGGGAGGAACAUCAGUGGCGAAGGCGGCCACCUGGGACAACACUGACGCUGAGGCACGAAAGCGUGGGGAGCAAACAGGAUUAGAUACCCUGGUAGUCCACGCCCUAAAACGAUGCGAACUGGAUGUUGGUCUCAACUCGGAGAUCAGUGUCGAAGCUAACGCGUUAAGUUCGCCGCCUGGGGAGUACGGUCGCAAGACUGAAACUUAAAGG